rnacentral:misc_RNA from 1 species
UUUCCGUAGGUGAACCUGCGGAAGGAUCAUUACUGAAAUGUAAUAACUUCUAUUGAAAGGUUCCAGAGUAGGCGCUACAACGCCGAAAUGACCUUCUCACCCUUGUGUACUCACUAUGUUGCUUUGGCGGGACCGCUCGGUUCCGAGCCGCUGGGGAUUCGUCCCAGGCGAGUGCCCGCCAGAGUUAAACCAAACUCUUGUUAUUAAACCGGUCGUCUGAGUUAAAAUUUUGAAUAAAUCAAAACUUUCAACAACGGAUCUCUUGGUUCUCGCAUCGAUGAAGAACGCAGC